GCCGGGUGUGGUGGCGUGCACCUGUAGUCCCAGCUACUCAGGAGGCUGAGGCAGGAGAAUCACUUGAACCCGGGAGGCGGAGGUUGCAGUGAGCUGAGAUCAUGCCACUGCGCUCCAGCCUGGGGGACAGAGUGAGACUCUGUCUCAA
rnacentral:SRP_RNA from 1 species